GCACUCGUAGCUUAGCCCGGCUUAAAGCGCCUCCCUGUCACGGAGGAGAUCGCCGGUUCGAAUCCGGUCGAGUGCG
rnacentral:tRNA from 1 species